rnacentral:piRNA from 1 species
UUUGUGUGGUUGUGGACAUUGGUGUGGGU